rnacentral:rRNA from 1 species
CCCUUAGAUGUUCUGGGCCGCACGCGCGCUACACUGUUCGACGCAGCGAGUCUUAACCUUGACCGAAAGGUUUGGGUAAUCUUCAGCAAAGUCGAACGUGAUGGGGAUCGAUCAUUGCAAUUAUUGAUCGUGAACGAGGAAUUCCUAGUAAGUGCAAGUCAUCAGCUUGCGCUGAUUACGUCCCUGCCCUUUGUACACACCGCCCGUCGCUACUACUGAUUGGACGUUUAAGCAAGAUUUUUAAACACUGACAGUGUGUAGUUCACGCUAUACUACAGUGAGAAGAAGAAGAUCGAGCUUACUUGUCUAGAGGAAGUAAAAGUCGUAACA